CAUUCCGAGGAGCGUUGCAGCUCACGCCAAGGCCCCAGGCCCGGCGCUGAGUGAGGCUCGGAACCCGCUGCGGCCGAUCUGCUGUGGCGUUUCACAACGGCGCUCACCCACG
rnacentral:ncRNA from 2 species